rnacentral:rRNA from 1 species
GACGAACGCUGGCGGCGUGCUUAACACAUGCAAGUCGAACGGAAAGGCCCUGCUUUUGUUGGGUGCUCGAGUGGCGAACGGGUGAGUAACACGUGAGUAACCUGCCCUGUACUUUGGGAUCACUUCAGGAAACUGGGGCUAAUACCGGCUAGGAGCUCCUGCUGCAUGGUGGGGGUUGGAACUUUGCGGCGGUUAGGGAUGGACUCGCGGCUUAUCAGCUUGUUGGGGGGGUAGUGGCUUACCAAGGCUUUGACGGGUAGCCGGCCUGAGAGGGGGACCGGCCACAAGGGGACUGAGGGACGGACCAGACGCGUACGUUAGGCAGCAGUGGGGACUAUUAUCCAAUCAGCGGAAGCCUGAUGCAGAGACGCCGCGGUCGGGAUGACGGCCUUCGGGUUGUGAACUGCUUUCGCCUGUGACGAAGCGUGAGUGACGGUAAUGGGUAAAGAAGCACCGGCUAACUACGUG